rnacentral:lncRNA from 1 species
GAGGGCUGGAGGGGACAGCUGUUCUGCCUCCUCAGGGAGACUGGGAAGGCUAACGGGGGCUCUGGAAUCCAAUAGAUCCAGGUGACAAUCUCCGACUGAUGUGGCCUUGGGCCACUGACUCUCCAUUUCUGAGGACAAUUUUCUCUUCUCUUGUAACCUGUUUUAGGACUGUUGUGAACAUUGAAUGGGAUAAUGUGGGUGCUUCUGUGGAUCCUAUGGCUCUGCGCCUCCGAGACUGGAAGCUACCAGGAGGAUGAGGUUUCUGACUACAGAUUGCUGAUGGUCUCCAGCUUGAAGCCUACAUUCAUAGGAACUGAAGUAAUGGAAGUGGAGGGAUCACCUCAUAGCAUCACCUGUCUCCUGGGCAGAGACUGAUCAUGCCUUCCCCUUAUUCAGCCCCUCAUUUUCCUUUUUAACAGAACCCCUACAUGAGCAGAGGUGACAAUGGGCCCAGGUAAAAACUGCUUUUCCAAUGAGAUGUAUGGGUGAGGAUUCUAGGAAAGCUCUUUUAAGAAGUUGACUCAACUGGAAGGUUCCAUGUUCCUAGCUUCUUUCUCUUUGUUGAGGAAUGAGAAUGUGAUGGCUAGAGCUCCAGCAUCCAGCUGGGAAGCCAAGAAGAUGAGGGGCAUGCCCAGGGAG